rnacentral:tRNA from 1 species
GGUUCUGUAGCUCAGUAGGUAGAGCACUUGACUGAAAAUCAAGGUGUCGCCGGUUCAAUUCCGGCCGGAACCACCA